rnacentral:rRNA from 1 species
UACGGGGGGAGCAAGCGUUGUUCGGAUUUACUGGGCGUAAAGGGCGCUUAGGCGGCCACGACAAGUCACUUGUGAAAUCUCCGGGCUUAACUCGGAAAGGUCAAGUGAUACUGUCGGGCUAGAGUGCAGAAGGGGCAACUGGAAUUCUCGGUGUAGCGGUGAAAUGCGUAGAUAUCGAGAGGAACACCUGCGGCGAAGGCGGGUUGCUGGGCUGACACUGACGCUGAGGCGCGAAAGCCAGGGGAGCGAACGGG